rnacentral:rRNA from 1 species
AGAGUUUGAUCCUGGCUCAGGACGAACGCUGGCGGCGUGCUUAACACAUGCAAGUCGAACGGUGAAGUCCCUUCGGGGGCGGAUCAGUGGCGAACGGGUGAGUAACACGUGGGCAAUCUGCCCCUCACUGUGGGAUAACUCCGGGAAACCGGGGCUAAUACCGCAUAUGAAGCCUGGCGGCAUCGCCGGGUUUGGAAAGUUUUUCGGUGAGGGAUGAGCCCGCGGCCUAUCAGCUUGUUGGUGAGGUAAUGGCUCACCAAGGCGACGACGGGUAGCCGGUCUGAGAGGGCGACCGGCCACACUGGGACUGAGACACGGCCCAGACUCCUACGGGAGGCAGCAGUGGGGAAUAUUGGGCAAUGGGCGAAAGCCUGACCCAGCGACGCCGCGUGCGGGAUGAAGGCCUUCGGG